CACGCCGUAAACGAUGGGCACUAGAUGUGGGCGGUGUCGACUCCGUCCGUGUCGCAGCUAACGCACUAAGUGCCCCGCCUGGGGAGUACGGCCGCAAGGCUAAAACUCAAAGGAAUUGACGGGGGCCCGCACAAGCAGCGGAGCAUGUGGUUUAAUUCGACGCAACGCGAAGAACCUUACCUGGGCUUGACAUGUGAGUGAAAGCCAUAGAGAUAUGGUCCCUCUUCGGAGCACUUUCACAGGUGG
rnacentral:rRNA from 1 species